GGGGAUACAAACUCAUGAUCAUCCAAUAGUUAUUAAUGACUAAUCGAAUACGACAUUAUCCAUUAAUUGAUUACAAAGUUAAGGAUAUAUUUAUAACAUAAAAAUUGCUAAAAAGGGGGAUAUGAACUCAUGACUGUCACGACUCGAGCCUACACCCUGGACGUGGCCGGCACUCGAGAACUAAUGCCGGUCCCCAAGCGAACCCUCAUAUUGGUUGACUACAAGCAGAAGACUAACUCAAG
rnacentral:lncRNA from 1 species